rnacentral:rRNA from 1 species
UACGAAGGGUGCAAGCGUUACUCGGAAUUACUGGGCGUAAAGCGUGCGUAGGUGGUUGUUUAAGUCUGCUGUGAAAGCCCUGGGCUCAACCUGGGAAUUGCAGUGGAUACUGGGCGGCUAGAGUGUGGUAGGGGACAGUGGAAUUUCCGGUGUAGCGGUGAAAUGCGUAGAGAUGGGAAGGAACACCCGUGGCGAAGGCGACUGUCUGGGCCAAAACUGACACUGAGGCGCGAAAGCGUGGGGAGCAAACAGG